rnacentral:rRNA from 1 species
UACGUAGGGUGCAAGCGUUGUCCGGAAUUAUUGGGCGUAAAGAGCUCGUAGGCGGUUUGUCGCGUCGGCUGUGAAACCCUGAGGCUCAACCUCAGGCCUGCAGUCGAUACGGGCAGACUUGAGUUCGGUAGGGGAGACUGGAAUUCCUGGUGUAGCGGUGAAAUGCGCAGAUAUCAGGAGGAACACCGGUGGCGAAGGCGGGUCUCUGGGCCGAAACUGACGCUGAGGAGCGAAAGCGUGGGGAGCGAACAGG